rnacentral:rRNA from 1 species
UACGGAGGGUGCAAGCGUUAUCCGGAUUUAUUGGGUUUAAAGGGUCCGUAGGCGGGCCCGUAAGUCAGUGGUGAAAUCUCGCAGCUUAACUGCGAAACUGCCAUUGAUACUGCGGGUCUUGAGUGAAUUUGAAGUGGCUGGAAUAAGUAGUGUAGCGGUGAAAUGCAUAGAUAUUACUUAGAACACCGAUUGCGAAGGCAGGUCACUAAGAUUCAACUGACGCUGAGGGACGAAAGCGUGGGGAGCGAACAGGAUUAGAUACCCUGGUAGUCCACGCCGUAAACGAUGCUAACUCGUUUUCGGGCCGCAAGGCUCGGAGACCAAGCGAAAGUGAUAAGUUAGCCACCUGGGGAGUACGUCCGCAAGGAUGAAACUCAAAGGAAUUGACGGUGGCCCGCACAAGCGGUGGAUUAUGUGGUUUAAUUCGAUGAUACGCGAGGAACCUUACCAAGACUUAAAUGGGAAUUGACAGAUUUAGAAAUAGAUCCUCCUUCGGGCAAUUUUCAAGGUGCUGCAUGGUUGUCGUCAGCUCGUGCCGUGAGGUGUUAGGUUAAGUCCUGCAACGAGCGCAACCCCUGUCACUAGUUGCCAUCAUUCAGUUGGGGACUCUAGUGAGACUGCCUACGCAAGUAGAGAGGAAGGUGGGGAUGACGUCAAAUCAUCACGGCCCUUACGUCUUGGGCCACACACGUAAUACAAUGGCCGGUACAGAGGGCAGCUACCACGCGAGUGGAUGCGAAUCUCGAAAGCCGGUCUCAGUUCGGAUUGGAGUCUGCAACUCGACUCUAUGAAGCUGGAAUCGCUAGUAAUCGCGCAUCAGCCAUGGCGCGGUGAAUACGUUCCCGGGCCUUGUACACACCGCCCGUCAAGCCAUGGAAGUCUGGGGUACCUGAAGUCGGUGACCGUAAAAGGAGCUGCCUAGGGUAAAACAGGUAACUAGGGCU